AAAUUGAAGAGUUUGAUCCUGGCUCAGAACGAACGCUGGCGGCGUGGCUAAGACAUGCAAGUCGAACGGACUAUUAAAUUGGGUAACCGAAAUAAUAGUUAGUGGCGAAAGGGUGAGGAAUGGAUAGGUAACGUACCUUUGGCUUCGGAACAGCGUCCCGAAAGGGGCGAUAAUACCGGAUGAUAUCAUGAAUUGUAAGGUUUGUGAUCAAAGAUUUAUCGGCCAGAGAGCGGCCUAUUCCCUAUCAGCUAGUUGGUGAGGUAAUGGCUCACCAAGGCGACGACGGGUAGCGGGACUGAGAGGUUGGCCCGCCACAUCGGGACUGAGACACUGCCCGGACCUCCACGGAGGGCUGCAGUAACGAAUAUUGGGCAAUGGGCGAAAGCCUGACCCAGCGACGCCGCGUGUAGGAUGAAGUUCUUCGGAAUGUAAACUACUGUCAGGGAUUAGAAAGUUUCGAUUGAUCAAUCCCAGAGGAAGUCACGGCUAACUUCGUGCCAGCAGCCGCGGUAAUACGAAGGUGGCAAGCGUUGUUCGGAAUCACUGGGCUUAAAGGGCGCGUAGGCGGGCCAGAAAGUGUCUUGUGAAAUCCCACGGCUUAACCGUGGAAUUGCUCGGCAAACUUCUGGUCUUGAGGCAAGUAGGGGUGUGUGGAACUCUUGGUGGAGCGGUGGAAUGCGUAGAUAUCAAGAGGAACGCCGAAGGUGAAGACAGCACACUGGACUUGUACUGACGCUGAGGCGCGAAAGCGUGGGGAGCAAACAGGAUUAGAUACCCUGGUAGUCCACGCUGUAAACGAUGCCUACUAGGUUGUGGGGGUUCUGACACUUCCACAGUCGUAGCAAAAGUGUUAAGUAGGCCGCCUGGGGAGUACGGUCGCAAGGCUAAAACUCAAAGGAAUUGACGGGGGCUCACACAAGCGGUGGAGCAUGUGGAUUAAUUCGAAGCAACGCGCAGAACCUUACCUGGGU
rnacentral:rRNA from 1 species